GGUCCUACGGGACGCAGCAGUGAGGAAUAUUGGUCAAUGGGCGAGAGCCUGAACCAGCCAAGUCGCGUGAAGGAUGACGGCCCUACGGGUUGUAAACUUCUUUUGUCAGGGAGCAAUUGGGUCCACGCGUGGGCUUAGCGAGAGUACCUGAAGAAAAAGCAUCGGCUAACUCCGUGCCAGCAGCCGCGGUAAUACGGUGGAUGCGAGCGUUAUCCGGAUUUAUUGGGUUUAAAGGGUGCGUAGGCGGAGUGUCAAGUCAGCGGUAAAAUUUCGGGGCUCAACCCCGUCGUGCCGUUGAAACUGAC
rnacentral:rRNA from 1 species